AGAUCUACAUUAUCUCUGUGUUCCCCUGUGCUCUGCUCUUACUAUGAAAGACCCUCACUCAUCUAUAAACCCUGAGAUGGGGAUUUGAGGCAAAUAGGCCCCUCCAUCUUCUGGGAGCAAGAUUUAAAUAAAUCCUUUUUCCUUGUUACCCAAAUAUGUUGCCUUAGCUGAAUGUGGUGGAACACACAUGUAAUCACAGCAUGCAGGAGGUUGAGGCAGGAGGAUCACCAGGAGUUCAAGGCCAACCUGCACAACAUAAGGAGACCCUGUCUCAGGAGCAAACAAACAGCCAGGGAUAUGGCUCAGUGGCACAAGUGCCUGCCUGGCAAGUACAAGGUCCUUAGUUUGAUUCCUGGUACCCAAAAAACAAAAACAAAACAGACUAGUAUCUAUAAAAAAGCUGAAGGGGACACAUUAAUCUGUGUGACAUUUUACAGCCAAUUAAAUAGCUGAGGCUGGAUUUUUAUACAAGUAAUAUGUCUCCAGAAUUCUUUGCUUCUAAGCAUCAUGUUUUAUCCCUAAAAUAAGGGAGGACAUUUGAAAUCUUUGUUUAGAAUUUCCAGUUUUGUUUGAAGUCAUAAAACUCACCUAAGCCACUAAGAAAAGCAGACCAUUUUACUGCUUGACUCAAUACUGCUUGACUCAGUACCUAUCUGGUUGUAACCUAUCUGGUUGCAUGUAUAGGAUACAAAAAGUAAAGAAUUGUUGAUUCAGCAGUUCCUGGGGUAGCUAAGUGGCUGUCACCUACCUUUGUGUCCACAGUUGCUUCUUUUUUUUUUUCCUUUAGAGGGAGAGUCUAAAAUGGCCUACUACAGCAGGCUGCACACACCCAAUUUUGUUUUUACCUGUUUUUACAAGUUGACAGCCAUUUUUUAGCAAAGUAGAGUUAUUAAAUCCUUUGUUAAUAUUUUUGCAUGUUGAUCCAGUAGUCUGACAAGGUAAUAUUACUGCUUUUUUUCUUGUAAUCAAAGACUAAAAGACUCAUAUUUGGUUAGAAUGCAUUCACUGAAGUGGAAUUAUUACAUCAAAGAGUAUAUACCUUUCUAGUGUUCAGUAUAUUGCCAACUUUCUUCCCAAAAAGUUUGUACCAAUUUUUACACACGUGAGUGAUUUGUUUUAAGCUUUUUUUUUUUCUCUGUAUGAUUCCAUUCAUAUGAAAUGAUCAGAAUAGGUAAAUCCAUAGUGACUGAGGCAAAAUCAAUGGUUGUCAGGAAGUAAAGAAGCAGGAAUGAGAAGUUUCGCUGGGGAUGAUGGAAAUGUUCUAAAAUUAGAUAGCAAUGAUAGUUGUACAACAAAUGUGAAUAGGCUAAUGUACUAGGUUUGAUUAAAAAACAUACAGUGCAUGUUUAUUUUAAGAAAUGUAUUACAGUAAAAGACACAAGACCAUUAAAUUCCCUUGAAAUACCCAUCUUGCUUCCAGCACGUUUAUCUCAUCAUCUUUGUCAUUUUCUUAAGCAGUUCUGCAAGUCCUCUUUCAUGAAUGUCUUUAGUUGCACUGGUGAGACUACCUGAACAUUUCCUUUUCAGGAUCAUUUCAACUUUGACAUAGCAAGAGGUUGUAUGAUACCAGAUCUGUAAAUAAGGUGAAUGAGGACACACUUCGAUUUUUUUCAGCACCCUGCCUUUCCUUUGGUGAUAGUUUUACUAGGUUUUGGGGUGCUGGAAUCUCCUUCUGGAGGUGUUUUCUGAUUUUUUUGUCCUCAAUUCAUAAAUACUUCUGUUAAGCGUUCAACAGAAUUAUACUUUGUUCCUAACUCUGAAUUGGGUGAUACACCCUAAAGCAGUGGUGGUGAACUUUAUGACACAUAUGUUAAUUUGUUUUUGUUUUAAAACAAGAAAUGUAAAUGUAUGAGUUGUUGUUUCUAAAGUAAAACCUCAGCUGGGCAUAGUGGCACAUGUCUGUAAUCCCAGCACUUGGGAGGAGUUCAAGUUCAGCGAGGGCUACACAGUGAGUUCAAGACAGCCUAAACUAUGUAGUGAGACCCUGUCUCAAAAAACAAAACAAGGGCUGGAUGUGGUGGCACAUGUCUGUAAUCUCAGCAACCUGGAGCUGAAGCAGGAGGAUUGCAUUGAGUUUGAGGCCAGUGUAAGCUACAUAGUAAAUUCAAGGCUACCCUGGACUACACAGCGAGAUCCUGUCUCCAAACCAAACCAAACCCUCAAUAUUUAGGUUUAGUUGCAAUGUUGGUACUUUGUGAUAAAUAAAUGGAUUUUGGGUUGCAGUUUGGCUACUUGCCUCUUAAAGUUCACCAUUACUGCCCUACACCUAUACAAAAGAGAAUACAGUGGCCAAAAAAACUUUUUUUAUUUAUCAGAGUGCUAACUGAGAUUACAGCCAUGUGUCACCAUGCCCAGUCCCAAAAUUUUUUUUUUUUUUUUUGGUAUUGGGAGUUGAACUCACAACCUCAUGCUUUCCAAGCAGGUGCUAUGCCACUGAGCUAUAUCCAUGGCCCCUAAAAAACUUAUUUUUAUGAAUAAAAACUAGUACUAUUAAUUUUUGGGUUGUGAGAUUGGAUUUGUUUCUGUAUGUUUCUUGAUACUUUUAUUUUUUCAUGUAAUAAUAGUUCGGGUAUUAUACAAGUUUCUGUUGGAAGUUUUUUAUUUUGUAUUUUUGAGACAGGAUAUUGUUAUCUAUUGGUAUCUAUACCUAUUACUGACCCUGAAUUCACUAUGACCUUAAACUCAUGGAGAUUCUCCUGUCUCAGCUUCCUGAGUGCUGGGUUUACAAGUGUGUGCCACCGUACUCUAGUGUGUUGGAGUUCUUAAAUUCACCAUUUAUUGUUAUAAUAUGUUCUGUAAAUAAAGACUGUUACUCACAUUGUAUCUAAUGUUUUAAGUUCUCCUACUUUUAAGUUAUUUCUUUUUUUGUGUGCCGGGUAUCAAACUCAAGAACUCAGGCUUGGCGGGAGGUGUACUAUGUUGCUGAGCUAUAUCCUUGGCCCUGGUUACUUCAUAAUUUUUUUUUAAAUUUUAUUUUUUUAUCAGUACUGGGGAUCGAACUCAUGACUGCCUGCUUGCAAGGCAGGUGCUUAUGCCGCUGAGCUAAAUCCCCAGCCCCGGUUACUUCAUAGUUUAAAAAAAUUAUUAUCGUUUAUGUUUAAAAUUUUUGGUUAGUAGAUAUUUGAGAUCAUUUUCUGCUAUUCUUCCAUUAAGUUUGAAUAGCUGUCUCAAACUAGAAAUUAGAGAAAUUGCAUUCCACCAUUGUCUGAUGACAAUCAUCAAGUUUGUUUUAUUUUUUUAGUUUCAUUAUGUAGUUCAGGCUGGCCUCAUUCAUGGCUAUCCUCCUGCUUUAGCCUCCCCACUGCUAGGAUGCAGGCAUGUAUCACCAUGCUUGGCUCGAUAAUCAUCAAGUAUGGGGGAAAAUUUCAGCACCCAGAGAUAAUGAGCAUUAAUAAAUACAUAAAUAAAAUUUUAAAAAUAAAAAAUCAGUUUUUAUUAUUUAUUCUCUGAAUUUUUUCUUUUUCUGAAUUUUCGUAUAUAAGUGAUCAUAUCUAUCUAUCUAUCUAUCUAUAUAUAUAUAUACACUAAUUUAUUUUUUGUGUUUAUCAUAGUAGCAUGCUUAUUACCAUGUUAAAUAUUCUUAUAAUUGUCAUUUACUGGUUUCAUGAUAUUUUGUUAUGGAUUUUCAGUAUUUUGAUUUAUAUAAUGUUUUUCAACUAUUUUGGGUUAUAGAAUUCUAGAAUUGAAUUGUUUGUUAGAAGUUUUGAGCAUUGUAAAUAUUUGCCUUAAUUACUUUCUAAAAAUAUCAAUUAUUGCAUCCAUUUAGCUACUUAAUUUUUUUUCAUUUCUGCUAAUUUAACGUGUAGAAGAAUGAUCUUUGUUUUUGGAUACAUUUCUCUAAUUGUUGGUAACGCUGGACUUUCAGAUAUUUAUUUGAUGCUAGGGAUUGAACCUGGGUUCUCCUGGAAAAUCUCACUUAUUAGCUCUUAUUUUGUUUUGUGGUUAUUCAAUUUGUGAUAUUAUUUAUUUGUAAAUUACAGAUGUCAUUUCUUGCAAAUGUCCGUCUUGUGUUUGUUGCCACUGAGUCUAAAGAAAUGUUUGUGAUUCCUAAGACAAUUGUUGAACGAGACCUAGUGGCACAGGCCUAUAAUCCCAGUGCUCUGGGAGGUUGAGGCAGGAUAAUUACAUAUUCUGUCCCAAUUGGGGCAGUUUAGAGACUUCAUCUAGAUCCUGUCUCAAUUAAAAAUAAGUAAAUAAAUGAAAACUGAGCAUAUAGCUCAGUGUGAAGACCCAGAGCCACGAACAAAGAAGCAAAAAUAACUUCUGUGGGAUAUGUGUCUUUUUUGUUUGUUUGUUUGCUUGUUUAUUUUUUUUGUUGUUGUUGUUGUUUUUUUUUUUUUUUUUUUGAGAUGAGGUCUUACUAUGUAGUUCAGGCUGGCCUUGAAGUUGAGACAAUCCAGUCUCAGUCUCCUCAGUGCUGGGAUUGCAGGUGUGUGUCACCACACCUGGCUACAUGUCUGGUUCUUGGUAACCAUUUUGAGAUGAUGUUUGUGUGUCUUUUAAAUAGAUAGCCAUUACUUUUUAUCUAUAAGGAAAGCAUUUUUCCUAAAAGGAAAGCGCCACAUAAGUGCUACUCCCUGGGUGGGAGCAUGGAAAGAAGACAUGGCAACGUUUUAUCUCUAAUAAAGCAACUAGAGAAGAAACAAAAUGGCUGUCCUCCCUCCCCAUCCAUUCAUGCGCUAAUCUUAUUUUAAACUUUUAUGAGUAAUCUGAGGAAAGAUACAGCUGAUGGUAUCAUGGUGAAAUUGUCCACAUUUAUAGGUAAUGCUGAGUGCGUUACUUUUUUUUGCAGUGCUCCUAUGGAAUCCAGGCUCUCUUGCAUACUAGGCAAGUGCUUAUCCACUGAGCCAUGUUUCUAGCAUCACAAUGUGGAAUGUUAAUAGGAACAAAGGGCAACAUCUGAGAAGGCAUUCUGAGUGGUAUGACAACUGGCAGAAUGGAACAGUGUAGGCCAGAACAGAAUAAUGAGUUUAGGGGAACAGAGUAUGUUAAGCUUAUAAAAUAGUGGCCUCAUGGUGAUAUGGGGUCCCAGAACAGGAAUCUCUGUAAUUGCCAACAAAUUAUUGAUGUCAUUUGCCCAAUUUGCUGGAGCAUAGAUGAGAUAACCAUUAAAAAUUCAAGCCUUCUUAAGAAUGGCAUGGGACACAGAAAAAUUCAGUUCUAUCUUUGUAUAAAAUUGUCUGUCCCAAAUAACUUUACAGUGAUAAUCUUUCCUUAAAGAGUCUCUGUCACCCAGUUUUGAAAAAAGGGAGUAAGGAGAAUGUAUUACCUGUGUCAUUUUUCUUUCACAAUACCUGUUACACAUUUUGAUCCUUACUUAUACUUUCAGUUUCUCUCACCAGCGAAUGUGGUAUUUACACAUAUGACUGAUUUAUUUCACUUAAGAAUAUGGUCUCAAGGUGCAUACAUUUACCUAGAAAAGUCUCAAGCUUAUCCUUCUUUAUGCAGAGUAGAACUCCAUUGGAUAAUGUUUCAGUGCCGGGGAUUGAACUCAUGACCAAUUGCUUGCAAGGCAGGUACUUAUGCCGCUGAGCUAAAUCCCCAGCCCCUAUUUUCUAGUUGGUUAUGUGUAGGUGAAUUAGCUAUUCUUAGAGAUUUGAGGUUUCUUAUUCUGUUUUCCUGAAACUGUAUCUGUUAUUUCUGUUUCAUAGUCUGUUUAAUUAUGUUUAUUGAAUAGAUCCUCGUACUUAUUAUUCCUACUUUAUGAUCCAUCUGUUCUCUAUUUUGCCUUUAAAAUAAAAUUGUAAUUGUAUUUUUUUAGUAGAGAGUGGAGAUUAUUUGAUUUAGAGAUACCAAGUAAGCUGAAUUAAUUUUUGUAGUUGUAAACUUGUGCUUCUCACCAUUUUUCUAGGUGUAGAUACUAAACCAGGCUUGUGUGUAGUGAGGUGUGGAGGUUGAGAGGUGUAUAAGUGAGAAGGAAAAUGAAAGCUUGUAUUUUAGAAGAGGUGAUUGGGAACUGCCUCUUUGGAGAUCAGUGCCUAGUUUAAGCUUGGCGGCCCAUUUUACAUCAUACCAAUGUCUAUUUCCCAAAUCUAUCUGUGACCAUGGAUUAGGGAGAGCCUGUGUAUUUCAAAUAGCUAAAACGCAUUUAACAUUUUGAUUUUUUACAGUUUCUUUUACUUCUCUCUCUUUAGCACAAGGUCUCACCUUGUAGUUCAGGAUGCCUUUGAACUCACUAUAUAGCCCAGGUUGGCACUGAAUUUGUUGUCACACUCAUAGCUCAACCUCCCCAGUGAUGGGAUUAUAGGAGUGCAAAGCGACGCUGGACUGGUAUUCCGCCACUCUCUUCAUGUAACAGCCAGCAGUAUCCUGAAGCAGCACCCUUUGGAAAGAUAUUUUACAUAGGCCUUUAUAAUACAACCUGAUAAGUGUUAUAACACUUACCAGAUUGUAUUGUAAUUGUCUGUGUAUAUAUCUGUCUAUCUUCCUAUGUAGACUGUAAGCUCCUCGAGGGCAGGAAUGGUAUCUUCAUUGCUAGAGCUCAGCCUGGCACAUUAGUAGGCCACAGUACAUGUUUAUUGGAUGAAUAAAUGAAUGAGUCAUCAACAGACAUUUAUUGUGUGCUUGCUAAAGUGAUCUCCACAGGCCCUGGACUGCUAACUGUUUAAAAUUCAUGUGAUUGGAAACUUGAUACUUCUUUUUAGUUACAUAGAUAUCUGCACAAGUUACUUUUAAAAAUUUUAAUUUAUAUGUUUUUAUUUUUUCGUAUGGUGAUCAAACUCUUGACCUAGCACUUGCCAGGCAGGUGCUUAUGCCACUGAGCUAAAUUCCCAGCUAUGUUUUUAAUUUUUAUUAGUACGUGUUUAUAGUACCACUGAUUAAUUGUGGAAAGUUGGUCAUGCACAUAACACCUCUUAAUUCUUCUUUCUUUUUUUUUUUUAAUCGGUAUCUGGGAUCGAAGUCAUGACUGUGUGCUUGCAAGGCAGGCACUUAUGCCGCUGAGCUAAAUCCCCAGCCCACCUCUCAAUUCUUAAUUUCCUUCCCCUCUCCUCACUCCCUCCAUCUCUUGCUCCCCAUUCUUUUUGCACAAAAGACCUAUUUCUCUGUUUUCUAUUAUCUUUUAUUUUGCUUGUUAACUUAUUUAUAUUUUGGGUUUCUCAUAGGGAAAUUAUGCUAUAUUUAGCUUGUAUGUCUUGAUUUAUUUCACUUAAAAUUAUGGUGUCAAGGUGGAUCAAUUUCCCUACAAAUGACUCAAGUUUUGUCUCUGUUUGUUUUGAGACAGGAUAUCCCAAUGUUAUUCAGGCUAGCUGGAACUCACUAUGUGGCUCAGGUUGGCCUGGAAUUUAUGAUAAUCCUCCUGCCUCAGCCACCUGAGUGCAGGGAUUAUAGGCAUGUGCCCCCAUGACCAGUUUAAAUUUAUCUUUCUUUAUAGCAGAGUAGUCUAACAUUGCAUACAAGUACCAGUUGUUUUUAAUCCAUUCAUCUGUUGAUGGACAUAUAGGCCACUUCCAAAAUUUAGCUAUUAAGAACUGUGCUGCUAAAAACAUGAGUAUGUGUGUAUUACUGUAAUAUGAUGUCUUUAACUCUUUGGGGAAGAUGCCUAGAAGGAGUAUACCUGGAUCAGAUGGAAUUUUUGUUUUGUUUUUUGAGAGUCUUGUUAUGUGGUCUACGCUGGCCUGGAACUCACAACUAUCUUUCUGCCUCAGCCUCUCGUGCUUGAAUUACAAGCAUUGAAUUACAAGCAUUUGCCACUAUAUCUGCUUUGGAAUUUCUACUUCUAGUAUUGAAAUUUAAAAAAAAAUAUUUUGUUUUAUGAGGAACCUCGAUAAUUAUUUCCAUAGUGAUUAUAUUAUUUUACAUUCCCACCAAGAAUAGAAGGGCUCCAUUUUCCCUGUAGCCUCACCAGCAUUUUUUAUUUGAUUUCUCGAUGAUCGUUCUUUCUGCAGUAAAGUGGAAUCUCGGUGUUCUUUUAAUUUACAUUUUUCUUUUCUUUCUUUCUUUUUCUUUUCUUUUUUUUUUUUUUGGUGCCAGGGAUUGAACUCAUGACCUCACAUUUACCAAGCAGGCACUUGCACCACUGAGCUAAACCCCAGCCCCUAAUUUACAUUAUUUUACCAGGCAUAAAUGUUUAACAUUCUUUUAUGUGUCUGUUGGCCAUUUGUACUUUUUUCUGAGAUAGGGUCUAGCUAUCUAGUUUAGGCUUGUUUUGAAUUCAGUGUUGUAUAGCAUAGGUAGGUCUCAGAUUUGGAGCAGUCCUCCUGCCUUAACCUCUGUAAUGCAAAGAUUAUAGGUGUGUGCCACCAUACCUGGCUGAUUUAUUGAGUUCUCUCUUUUUUUGGUCUUUUUGAGACAGGGUUUCACUGUGUAGUUCAGGCUGCACUCACUUUGUACUCACUUUGUAGCCCAGACUGGCCUCAAAUUCACAGCAAUUCUCCAGCCUUAGCCUUCCGAGUACUGGCAUUACAGGCAUGCUGCACUACACCUUGCCUGGUCUAUACAUUUCAAUUGUCGAUUUUUUAAUUCUUUUAUUUUGUUAUAUAUUCUAGAUAUUAGUGUUUUUUUUUAAACUAUGAAGUAAAUUCUUUUAUUUCUUUUUUCCUCAAAUUCAUUUUAUUCAACCAUAAAAAGAAAGAAAAAAGAAUAAGAAGCAAAAAACUACAAUGAAAUUUGAAAGCAUGUCAAUCAGGGGUUAGCAAUGGUACAUACAUUGUGCAUUGUCAUCCCUAAAUCAUUCACCCAGAGCACAAGACAUCUGCCUUCAAUUGUUUGAACAAUAACAGUGUGUUUCUCUUCAGCAAACUCAGAGAAAUCAAUAGUAUAAUUAUCUUUAUUGUAAUAUAAACAUGAAUGUUUUUUUCUUUCAGCUUGUCACACUAAUGAAACAAUUCAAUGUUUAUACAUGUGUCUUUAUUUCACUAAUGAGUGUGUUCUCAACAUGCAUCCAUUUACCUAUGAAAGUGUCCAAUAUAUCAUUCUUUAUGGCUGAGUAGUAUUCCAUUGCAUAAAAAUAUGACAUGUUUGUCUAUCCCUCAGUUGAUGCGCAUUUAGGUUGUUUCCCAGAUCUGGCUAUUAUAAACUGUGCCGUUUUAGCAUGGGUGUACGUGUAUCACUUUGCCAUGAUGUUCUUAAUUCUUUUGGGAGGAUGCCCAGAAGAGGAAUAGCUGAGUUGAAUGGGACCACCAAUUCUGGUCUUUUGAGGAGUCUCCACACUGAUUACCACAGUGGUUGCAUCAGUUUGCAUUCCCACCAACAGGGGAGAAGGGUUCCUUUUUUCCCACAGCCCCUCCAGCAUUUGUUAUUGCUUGAUUUCUUGAUAUUAGCCAUCCUUUCUGGGAUGAGUAGAGUCUCAGUGUUGUUAAUUUGCAUCUCUCUUCUUUUUCUCAUCUAGCACUGCCGGAUUGAUUUCUUAUAGUCCAUAACUAGUUUUGAUAAAUCUUUUAUUUUCCCUGAGACUAACUGCAAGCCUGUUUUCAAUAUCUGGUAUCCUAUUUUUACGCUGGCCUAAUCUGCUUCCAGUCCUCAGAAUGGAGUUUUUAUUCUCCUGGAUAUCUGCUUGAAUCUGCUUUACGGAUUCCCUUUGAUUCCUCUGCUGCACUUCCAUGUCAUUUAUUUUUGUUUUUUGUUUGUGUCUGCUCUAACAUCACUAAGCAUGGUGUAUAUUUUGGCAAUCUCUGUAGUAAUUUGAGAGAUUAUUUCUGAUUUCAUUUUUUCCAGAGCCUCAUUCAAUUAUGUAGUUGUUACCACUUGAGAGAGACCUGGUGGGGGCUUUCAGAUUGUCCCACCUCGUUGCCCCUGGGUUUGUGUUUGGUGAACUGUAUGUCUGGGGUUGUAUCUUGCUUAUGUGUCUUCUAAUUUCUUUUCUUUUUUAGUUUAAUUCCUGAGAUGAUGCUUGUAAGUUGCCUAUGAUGGGUUACUUUGUUAGUGAUACUUAGGACAGUUAGGUGAUGAUUAAUUCUCUGAGGUAUCUUCCAGGUAUAGCUAGUUUUUGGGUUUCCGAGUCUGUUGGAAGAUUGUAUCUGUUCAGUUUGUUGGAGAGGCGAAGUUGUUGCUCAUUUGGCCUUGUCCCUGGUUCUUUGUCAUUGUGCUGCAGAAUUUCCUGUGAUCCUUCGUUAAUCUCAAUCAUGGAUUAUCAGGGCCAAUGGCUGUUUAGAACAAUUAUGUCAAUUUUGGCUGUAGUAAUACCAGUAUCAUCAAACAUAGCCUAAAAAAACCACAAACUGAGCUAACUCUUUAUUAAUUUGCAACUUUUAACUGUAUGAACUAGAUUUGUGAUUAUAUAAGAAAAUGUAAAACAUACCAGAUAAUUAAGUGCAAUAUGUAAGUCUGUAAUGUUUCAGUUUUGCCCUCGGGGUUAAAAUUUACAAUAGAUUAAAGACAAAAUAGAGAAUUGGAAAAAGAGAAAUAGAUUACAAGUAAGUUUGGAGGACAAAGAUGGAUCCCACCAAUUUGGGGAAGCUGAUACAUAGAAGACUGAAAGAAAAGAAGUGGGAGAGAAAAGGAAGAACAAAACAAAACCACACCCACAGAGAGGUUAGGAACCAGUCUUACACUGAGGAAAAAAAAAAAAUGAAAGAGAAAGAGAAAUAAAAAAACCCCAACUGAAUAAAACAAAACAAAAUAAACCAACAAACAAGAAAAUAAAACAAAACAAAAAAACCAAAUAGUCCACUUCCAGGCUUUUCUCUGGGUCUACUAGUAGCCUGUGGAGACAGCAUCCUGAAUUGUGUCACUGUAUCCCUGCAAGCUAGCCAUUGCUUUAUGCUGGAGUAGGAGAUAACCUUAGCAGGCCUACCCUGAGACCAGACUCAUUGGGCUUGCUGCAGUCCAACCAGUUUCCACUGGUCUGAGCCCAGCUAGGACCUGCUGGAGGAAGCUGGCAGCAGUUCUGGUUCAGCGCUUAUCUGACCGGACUCCAGAGUGGCUCCCAGCCAGUAGCGCUCUCCUGUGGGAGGACUGAGUCCUCUGUACUCAUUGCUAGCCAGUACAGUCCUCCACAUCUGCUGCUCCCCUCCACUGCUCCACUGCAUCUCUCUGCAGAGUCCUCUGGGGUUGCCAGUGGCCACUGUCACUGUAAAGGUGUGUCCCCAGGUUCCAACAGGUCCUGUUGUGCAGUGAGUCUGGCUCUGGAUGAAGGCGCCAUCAGCUACUGCCUUCUUUUGUUGAAGUUUUUCUUUUUACUCUCUCUCUGGGCUUCAGUUCACACUUCAGAAUCUUCCUGGGUCUAGGAGACCAGCUUCUUUCCUUGCCUUCCUCAUGAUGCUACUAUAUUCCAGCAUCUGGAUGAUGCCUCUCAGACAACCUGUUUUUUCUGCUGCUUACUGCUCUGUCAUCUUCCUACGUAUAGUCUUCUGAGGAAUAGCUGCAAAAAUAUUUCCUAUUCUGUAAGUUUUAUAUUCACUGGGUUGUAUCCUUUGAUGAGCAGAAGCUUUUUAACUUGAUAUAAUCCUGUUUAUUGGUUUUUUUUUUUUUGUUCAUUGUCUGUUUGUAUUUUUGAGUCAGAGUCUCAUUAUAUAGAAUAGGCAGGCCUUAAACUCACUAUGUAAUCCAGGCUGGCCUUGAAUUUGGGGUGAUCUUUCUUUAGUCUUCCAAGUAUUGGACAUGUGCCACCAUAUCCAGGUACUUUUAUUGAUUCUUGAUGUUUCUUGUGCAGUUGGGGUUGCCUUCAGAAAGUCUUGCCUAUGCCUAUGUCUUCAGGAGUUUUAGCUAUUACAUCUUCCAGCAGUUUGUGUUUCUGUUUUAACAAUUUUAUCUUUGACAUAUUUUGAUUUUAGUUUCUUUCUUAUACAUAUUCCUUUUAUUUCUUUCUCUUGCCUGAUUGCUCUGACUAAUGUUUGGCAUAUUCUGUUGAACAGAUAUUGGACAUCCUGCUCUGAAUCCUGAUUUCAGAGGGAAAGAUUUUGGCUUCUCUCUAUUUAGUAUGAUGUUUGCAAUAGGUUUAUAAUGAAUGGCUCCUAUGAGAUUGAGACAAGCUCCUUUAUACCUAUUUUCUUUAGCCUUCUUAUCAUGAAUGAAUGUUUGAUAUUGUCAGACUUCUGCAUCUAUUGAGAUAAUCAUGUGAUUUCUGUCUUUGCCUCUCUUGAUGGGAUAUAUUACAUUUACUGAUUUGUUUGCAUCCCUGGAAUAAAGCCUACACAGUCAUGAUGUGUCACCUUUUUGAUGAUUCAUUGCAUUCUGUUUGUUAGUAUCUUGGAGGAGUUUUUUGUCUAUAUUCAUUAAAGAGAUCAGCUUUUUUAUGAGUUUAACAAUAAAUCUGUCAACUCUUGGGCUUUUCUUUUUUUUUUGGUCUUUUUCCUUUUUAUUGGUACUGGGAAUCGAACUCAUGACUGCCUGCUUGCAAGGCAGGCGCUUAUGCCAAGCUAAAUCCCGAGCCCCUUCUUGGGUUUUUCUUAUUUGGGAAAUUUUUAACUACUGGUUCAGUUUCACUGCCUGUUUGUUAUUCAGGGUUUUUAUGUUUUCUUGGUUUUGGUAAUCUACAUGUAUCUAGGAAUCUAUCCAUUUCUUUUGGAUUCUCUGGUUCAUUGGAGUAUAGGUUUUCAAAAUUGUUCCUAAGAAUCUUUUGGGCUUGGUUGGUAUCUUACUGUGAUUUCACAUUUUCAUUUCUUUUUUAUCUUAACUUUAAGGAGAAAAAAUGAAAUUUCAAACAUGACAAAUAGAGAGUAACAAUACAUAUUAUUAUCUUCAAAUCAGUUACUUAGUACAAGACAUCUACAUUUAAUUGUUCAACCAUACUAGCACAAACGUUUCUCUUCAAUGAGCUCAUAGAUAUCAAUAGUAUAACUCUUAACUGUAUAUAUACAUACAUAUGCAUAUAUAUAGUUUCAGCUGUUCUCACUAAUGAGACAAUAUGAUCUUUACACAUGUGUGUCUCUGUCUCAUGAGUAUGGUCUCAAAUUACAUCCAUUGACUUACAAAAGUCUCAAGUUUAUCCUUUAUGGCUGAGUAGUACCCCUCUGCAUAAAAAUAUGACAUGUUUUUUAUUCAUUCCUCAAUUGAUGGGUGUUUAGAUUGUUUCCAAGAUCUAGCUAUUGCAAAUUGUGCUGCUGUGAACAUGGGUACACACAUAACACUAUGGUAUGAUGUUUUUAAUUCUUCAGGGAAGAUACCCGGAAGGAGAAUAGUUGGGUCAGAUGGGACCGCCAAUUCUAGUUUAUUGAGGAAUCUCCACACUAAAUGUCAGAGCGGUUGCAUCAGUGUACACUUUCACCAACAGUGGAGAAGGGUUCAUUUUUUCCUCACAGUCCCUCCAGCGUUUGUUAUUGCUUCAUUUCUUGACACUAGCCAUCCUUUCUGGGUGAGGUGGAAUCUCAGUAUUGUUUUUAACUUGUAUCUCUCAAAUGACCAGUGAUGUUGAACAUUUUUUCAUUUAUUUCUUUACUGUUUGUAGUUCUUCAUCUGAGAAGUGUGUAUUCAUCUCAGCUGCCCGUAUUUGGGUUGAGUCUUUAAACUGAGGAGGACUGAUUUUUUUUUUUUUGAGUUCUUGAUAUGUUCGUGAUAGUAAUCUUUUGUCUGAGGAACAGCUGACAAACAUUUUCUCUCACAUGGUGGAUUGUCUCCUUACUCUGUUGGUGGCUUCUCUUGCUGUGCAAAAGCUUUUUAUUUAAUAAGAUGAGAUCCUAUUGAAUGUUUGUGACAGUUCUCAUGAAAUUGGGAUCUUGUUCAUAAAACCUUUGCCUACGCCAGUGUCUUCAAGAGUUUUACCUAGGCUAUAAAUCUGUAGGAAGAUGGAGUAGGUAAAACUCUUGAAGACAUUUUCACUUCUUACUAAAUUGAUUAGUAAGAUUGUUUUCAAGACUUUGGAAAGUCUUUCCAAGACUUGUUUAGAUUAUUUCCAAGAUAUAGCUAUUACAAAUUGUGCUGCUAUGAACAAAGGUACACACAAGUCUUUUUUGUUUUGUUUUGGUAAGAUUGGCUAACAAUUUGUUGCAUUUUGUUCUUUCAAAAAAACCUAAUCUUUGAUUCAUUGGUUCUUUGUAAUUUUUUUUGUUUAUUCUUUCAAAAAAACCUAAUCUUUGAUUCAUUGAUUCUUUGUAUUUUUUUAGUUUCAAUGUCAUUAAUUUAUGCUCCGAUCUUUAUAAUUUUGUUUCUUGUACUAGCUUCACAUAUGGAUCAUUCUUGUUCCAGGAUGUAGAACUGCAUCAAUAGGUUAUUUAUUUAGACCUCUGUCUUUCUAAUGUCAUUCACAGCUAUAAAGUAUCCUUUCAGGACCACUUUCAUUAUGCUUCAGAGGUUCUGGCAUAGUGUAGUGGCAUUACUGCAUGAUUGUAGGGACUGAUUUCCUUUUUUAUUUCUUCUGUGAGUCAUUGAUUAUUCAAGAGUAUAUUGUAUAAUUUCCUUGUGUUUGCAUAGUUUGUGUGGUUUCUUUUGUCAUUGAUUUCUAGUUUCAUUGCUUUAUGCUCUGAUAAUACGCAUGGGAUAAUUUUGUUUCAUUUGCAUUUACUUAAGCAUUUACUUAAUAGGCUUAAAUGUGGUCUAUUUUUGAGAAAGUUUCAUGUGUUGCUGAGAAGAAUGUUUAUCUUGCUGUUGAGUAGAAUACUCUGCAGAUAUCAAGGGCUGGAGAGCACAAAUUAUAAACUGACUUUUCCAGACUUGUUCUUGUUCUGCCUUUGAGCCAGGUUGGGAUGCAGAACACCCACCCCUUUUUUUUGGUCACAGCUGGAAGCCUUAUGGGCUAAUGGCUGCUCUGCUCCUCACAGGGCAAGAUAAGACUUGCUGGAGACCAUAAGCAUCUGGGGGAAACUACAGUUUCUUCACCCCUCACCCCCAUCCUUGUCCUUGCAAGAGUGCUUUGUUCUUCUUACUAGCCCACCCUAGUCACCAUUACUGUUCCUAGAAACACUCACUGCCCUUCACCCAUUGUCCUUGACUUAGAGGUAAUGCAUAAACACCAAGUUCUUUGCUUGUGUUCCCCACCAACAACUGAUGAUCCUAGAUCCCUGCUUGUACUCCUGUUUUGUCUCUCGAUCUCUUUCUUCUAGCCACACACCAUAACUCCAGGUAUGUGACUGGGGACUCACAGCAAAGAUCCCUGGCAAUUGGCAUCUUGUAAGGGUCUCCAGUACUUAAGUAUGGUUGUUCUUUUUGUUACUACUUUGUCUAGUUGAUGUAUUUGUGGCAAUGGGGUAUUGAGGUCUUCCACUACAGUUGUGUUGAUGUUUAUAUAUUAUGUUCACUAAUAUUUGUUUUAUGAAGUUGAAUGUGGUGGUAUUUGGUACAUACAUUUUUACAUUUAUUAUCUCUUUCUGUUGAAUUGUCCCUUGAAGCAAUAGGCUGUGACAUUCUCUGCCUCUUCUGUUAAGUUAUGCCUUGAAGCCCACUUUGUUUGAAAGUAGGAUAUCUAUUCCUGCUUGUUUUCAAGCUCCUGUUGCAUGGAAUAUGGUUUUCUAUCUCUUCAUUUUUAAUCUAUGAAUGUCCUUUGAAUUGAAUAUGAUUCUUAUAUACAGUAUACUGUUGGGUUUUGUUUUUUAAUUCUGUCAAUUUUUAUCCUUUGGGGACCAAAAGUUAUUGAGUUAUUCCUCUCAUUGAAUUAUUAUUUUGAUGCAGAUUUUCUUUUUUGCUUUCUGUUUAAGUGCUUAUCCUGCUGGGUAUAUUCAUUGUAUUACACUUCUUGGAUUUGUUGGCUUUAGAGUCUCUGGAAAUCUUUGUAAUUUUUUGGAGGGCUCAUUUGGUGGUUUUGAAUUUUUUUUUUUUUUGUCUUUUUCAUUUUUAUCGGUACUGGGGAUCGAACUCACCACCACCUGCUUGCAAGGCAGGUACUUAUGCCGCUGAGCUAAAUCCCCAGCCCCCGGUGGUUUUGAAUUUUUAAAGGUACUGUUUGUCAUAUUUCUCUAUCCACUUUGAAAGAUAAUUUUUCUUGAUAUAUUAGUCUUGGUGAGAAGCCUGCUUGCUUGCUUUGCUGCUUUCUUUCUUUUUUUGUUUUGUUUUUUUGGUACUGGGGAUCAAACUCAUGACCUAGCGCUUGCCAGGCAGGCGCUUAUGCUGCUGACCUAAAUCCCUGGCCCCUCCCUUUUUUUUUUUUAAUUUGGAAGAGAAUAAAACCAAAUAAAAUAAAACAGAAUUGAGUCAAUCAAAACAAAAUGAUGAACAUGGUACAUGACUUUAAAACAAAAUACAAAGAAUCAAUAAUGGCUACCAUAAUGCCUCUUAUUAUUUCCAAAAGAAUUGCUCAUACCGUCAGGCAUAAUAAAAUCAAACAAAAUAGUACAAAAUAAAACCAAUAAAAAUACAAAGUAAUGGAAACAGUACAGGACUUCAAACCACGAUAAUAAUGAAACCACAAUGGAUACCAUAGUGCAUCUUGUUAUUUUCAAAGUAGUUGCCUAUACCAUCAGACAUGGUGCAAUCAAACAAAGCCAAAUAGAAUAAAUUCAGUCAAAACAGAACAAUGAAAGCAAUAAAGGGCUUCAAACAAGCUAAUACAAAAUCAAAAAUGGUUAUCAUAAUAUAUUUUAUUAUCUUUUAAAUACUUAUACGUGCCAUCAAAUAUGAACUUAGACAAAUUGAAAUAGAAUAAAACUGAACUAAACAGAACAAUGAAAACUAUGGCUUUCAAACCAUGAUAAUAGAUUAACACUUCCCUUUUUAGACUCUUCUUCCCCUUUCACUUUCACAGAAUGUGUUGUGCAUUUUGAAUCCUGCUAACUCCUUUAGUUUUUAUACUAAGGAGACAACACCCUAUUCACCCAUGUGACUCUGACCAUUUCACCCACGAGUAUGAUCUCAAAUUGUAUCUAUAUACCUACAAAAGCCUCAAGGUUAUCUUUCUUUAUAGCUGAGUAGCUUUCCAUUGUUUAAAACUGCCAUGACUUUCUUGUCCACUCUGCAGUUGGGCAAGCUACCCCUACUUCUUUCUGGUUCUCUGUCACAUAGAGCAUUUUUCUCUCUCCUUUGACUUUCAGUCUGUGAACCUGCUUUUGGAUUAAAUAUGUUUCUUGUAUAAAGCAUAUUGAUAUACCCUGUCUCUUGAUGCACUUUGCCUGUGUUUCUUUUUAUUGGUCAAUUGAGGCCAUCUAUAUUAGUGAUUAUGGCCAACACGCACUGCUUCAUCUCUGCCAUGCUAUUUUCCUGCCAUUGGCUUAGUACUUUCCCCCUCUAUUCCAUUGUCUGCCUUGCUUGGUGAGCGUCCUGUGCCACUGUUCCUGGAACUAUGGUCUUUUAUUUAUUUAUUUAUUUAUUUAUUUAUUUAUUUUUAAUCUCUCUCUAGAGAGAGUUCUUCAGUAUCUUUUGUAGGGUUGGUUUGGUAGUCACAUUCCUUCAGUUGUUGUUUGUCAAAGUAUCUUGUUUCUCCAUUAAUUUUUUUAUUUAAAGAGAAAAAACAAAAAAGGUAAAAAUAAUACAUAAUUUUAAAAAAAUAAACAGUAAGAAAUCACUAGUUGAUAAAUUACAUAUUGUUCUCUUAGAAAUAGUUGUUCAAGUUACAAAAGUAAAGCAUGCAAAGUGGACAUUCAAACAGUGAGAUUGUGAACAGUUCUGUUCAACAAUCCAACAAAAACUUAGUAAUAUGGUUAUCAAUCCUACACACUUAGACAUACAUGCAGUUAUAUCCUUUAGAGCACUUUCUUUUCCUCACUUUUUUACAAUAGCAAUUACACAUUUUAGGUUUUAUUACUCCUACAGUUCUUAUUUCUUUUUACACUAGAGACACAAUGUGAUGUUUAUAAAUACGAUUCUUAUUUUACUUAUGAGGAUUGUUUCAAGUUGUCUCCAUUUGCCUUAAGAUCAUCCUUUUUAUAGCUGAGUAAUAUUCCAUCGUAGAAAAAUGCCACAUCUUUUCUCAUAUACUCUGUGGCUGUGGAGCAUCUUGGUUGUUUCCAAGAUUUAGCUAUUAGAAAUUGUGCUGCUAUGAACAUAGGUGCACAUAUAUCACUGUGAUAUGACCUUUUCAGUUUUUCUGGGAAAAUACCCAGGAGGGGAAUAGCUGGGUUCAAUGGAACUUCCAGUCCUAGUCUUCUGAGAAUUCUUCAUACUGAUUUCCAUAGUGGUUGCACUAGUCUCCAUCAGUUUUGGAAGAUAAUUUUUCAGGGUACAUCAAUCUGGGAUGGAAGUUGUUUUCUUUCAGGACUUGAAAUAUUUCACUCUAAGCUCUUCUUGAUUGGAUGGUUUGUGUUGAGAAGUCUGCCAAGAUUCUGAUGAGUUUUCCUUUAUAGGUGAUCUGUUUCUUUUCUCUAACAGCUUUUAAUGUUCUGUUCUUAUGUUGAAUUUGUGGGUUCUUGAUUAUUAUAUGUCUGGGUGUAGAUUUAUUUUGGUUAUGGCUAGCUGGAAUUCUAUAUGCCUCACUUAUCUGAGUAUCAUUUGCUUUUCCUAUGCUCCGGAAGUUUUCUGAAUUUAUUUCUGUAAAUAGACUUUUAAUGUUGUUCGUGUUGUCUCUUUUUACCUCACAUUUAUUAUUCUUAAGUUAUGUUUCUUUUGUUUGUCUUGCAGCCAUUGAACUGUUACUUCCUGGUUCCUUGUUACUUUUUAGGAGAUCUUUCCUUUCAUGAUCACAAGCUGCAAUCCUAUCUUAAAGGUUUGAAAACCUAUCAUUAGUUUCUUUCAAGUGGUUUUGACAGCUUUCAAUGGACUUUUUAAUUUCCUGGAAAACUCUUUGAAUCUCUUUCAUGUAUUCUAAGUUUUUUGUAUUCAUUCAAGGUUUCCCUCAUUUUCUAUGCUCCUCUAUUCUUUCAUCUAUGGCUUCUUUUGAGGUGCUUAGCAAUUGUUUCAUUAUGUUUUUCAUUUCUUUUUUUUUUUUAUCUGAGAUAGUAUUUCUGUUUUAAUUUCUUUUGUAGCCUCAUGAAGUUGUUUUUUUACUUCAGAUACCAUUGCUUCAGAAACUUAAGGAUUUAGAGGAAUUAAUCCUUCAAUUGAAAGGUGAUCUGGGUAAAGGAACAGCUUUUUCAUUCAGUCAGAAUAUACUUAUUAAGAGAAAGAAAGCCUCUGUGAGAGAGAGACAGAAGAAGUCCCAAGUCUCUUCUUGUUCCAGAUGAAUUUUAGGAUUGAUUUCUCGAGAUCUAUGAGAAUUCUGCAGUGAAUCGUCUGGGCCUGGGCUCUUCUUUGUGGGAGGAGUUAGACCCAGGGGGAAGAUGAGCCAUGAGACACAGAGCCACAGAAGCAAGUGAAGGACAGAUGGAUCAAAAGUAUCACCCAGCCAUCCAGUCUAUCAUCCCUCCAACACCAUUGGUCCUGAAGAACGUUUUACUGAUCUGACCACUCAGCCUCCAUGUUCCUUUUGUCUAGGUUUUGAGAGCAAAAUUUUACAUGUAGAAUCACUAGUUUACUACACUAAAUGACAUUUUUAUGACUCCCUAGAAAGACUAUUGCUACUGGGUUUUGGGAUGUUGGAGUCUCCUCCUUGGGGUGGUUUCUAGGUUCUUUCUGUCCAGAGCAAAGAGCAAUCAAGACAAGCAUAAACAGCAGCAAAGUUUUAUUAAAGUCUGGCAAGGAAACAGGCUCUGAAGAGUGAAUGUGGACCAAAUAAAUGUGGAAAAAGAAGUACACCCUGCAUCGUGAGGGUGAUCCACCAUGGAAGACUGAAUACAGUAGUAAUAUCUCAAUGUAGACCGUCCUUUUGUGUCACCCAUGCCUCAAGUUGAUGUCAGGUGUAGGCUAGUCUAUCAAAACUUGGCUCAAGUUCUGGCAAGAAGUCCACAUUGCUGGGCUUUGGGAGCUGUUCUGCACAUGUGUCUGGGAUUUUAUAAUUAACAGAUCAUACCUACUAUUCAGUCAACCCUAAUCUCCUGUCUAAUUUCCCCCUAAGAGACAUGUAUGCACAAACAUUUUUAUGUGGUGCUGAGGGAUUAGAUGUUUUUGUCUUUAGCUUCUGGCUAAGAUGGGGUUUUAGAUACUACCUACGAUGGAGUAAGUGCUCUUCAAAUACAUUGGGUUGUUGUGACUCACUGGUUUGAAGAAAAAAAAAAAAACCUGUCAGAAGGCAAUGAGAAGAGUUAGUGUCUAUUGAGCUACCUGUUCAAUGGGAUAAAUAAGCUUUACUAUAAUAUUAUGAAUGUAGAACCCAAAUAUGAUGAACAGCUCAGAUUUCUAUACUUCUUGUGUAGGGUAAAAUAUGGCAAAGAGAGAGAGGGCUUAGAUAAAUUAUCGAGAACCUAAUAGCCAUAACCUUAGCAUGAUUACCCACAUAAGGGAUUUUAUUAAAAAUGGGACCCUCAAUACAGGUGCCCACUUUAAGAUGAGAUGAACUGGAGUCAUUAGUGACUCUUUAUCUGCACACAGAACAAUACUAAACUCAUGCUUUUUUAAGAAAAGCCUCACGACUAAGAGUAGCUUUUUCUUAGUCCUUUGACAUUUUUAGUUACCAUUUCCUAUGUAGGAUUUUUAUACCUUGUUGCAGCAUCGCAUGAGGAAGGACCAGAAUGGUUCUUGAGAAACAGAGUAAGCCUAAAGCCUUGAGGAGUGAUGCAGUGCCCUCCUUGCCUCCAUAUCAGCCUUUCAACUUUCCAAGGAAACUUUAGACCUUACUCUUUGGAGUCUUUUGCAAAGAAUGUCUGCAUCCUGUUUGGGAAGACGUACUGCCUCUAGGAGUUAUAGACUUUCCUGCUUGUGUUUUAUAAGUUAUUGCUUAUUAGUUGCCUAGUUUCUUCUUUCAGAUUGCUGUGCGGCCAUAUAGAACUAGAAAGGAAUAUUUUUUUUAAGUACAUAUAUAGUCUUCAUCUGCAAACCAAUCUUUAGCCUGUAAAACUACUACCUGCAGGCACUUGCACAAGUGUCCAUUUAAUAUACUUGAUAGUGUUUGGGCAGUAUGCACAAGAAUAGUUAUUUUAUUCCCAGCACAAAGAAUCUCUCUGGCUAAGAAGAUAUAUAACAAUGCCUUUUUCUGAGUAAGGGCUAUGAGCUGUGUUCUUUGAGCAAUUGUUCCAGAGGAAGUUGGCCUUAGUGAUAUGUUGUGAACUGCUAACUGUGUGACCUGCCUUUUGAUAUCCCUUUUGGACAAAAUUCCUUCCAUCAGUGAAUCAUACCCUUUUGCAUUCUUGGUGUAGCAAGCAGGUCAUUGAUGUCUUGCCUGCUUGCAUUGGUCUUACGGAUCACUUAUUCACAGGGUGGCUAAUUUCUGUGUUUGUAGGUAUCUGAGAGGCAGUAUUAAGAAUAAUGUACAUUUUGUAAUAGCCUCAGGAGUGUGAGGAGAAUGACCUGACUUGGUAAACCAUUCUCUUGUUAAUCACAACUAACCUUUUGUCUCCAAGGUUAUUCUGAUCAAUGGGAAAUCAGGUCUAAAAGUCACUGUCCUAAAGUUCAUUUGGCAGCUUCCUGUGUUAGCAUCACUGUAGUUGCUAUUGUUUUAGGCAGGGUGGCCAUCUAGUAGCCACUCUCUAUUUUUUGAAAAGUAUGCCAAUGGAUGGAAUUCUUGGUGCAGCCUUUGGAUCAAGAUACCCAAAGCAAUUGCUCUGAUUUCUGAUAUGCAGAAGAAGGGUAUUUUAAAGACAGGUAUUAUGCCAUGCAGUAGAAUCCAUCUGUUGGCUAAUUAGGGGAGGAAGACGUGGCAUAGGCCCAACAGGUUAAAUCCAUUUUGGCCUUUGUUUGAAUUUGAGAAUUGCCCCCAGUUUUGCUAGUGAACCUAUUUGUAACAAAGAAGUAACACUGUGGGACAAUUAUAAACUCAUGAUUAAAAAUUUGUACUUCAAAGUGACACAUCAGAACAGGAGUAAACAAUAUAUAACUAUGGGUCCCCUCCACCCUCACUAUAGCUAUGUAUCUAGAGGAAUGUUUUCCUGAGAAGUAAGUCAAUACAGAACAGAGUAAUUGAAUGGGCUCACCCAUAAUUUCCUGUUAACCAGGAUUCCUCACAGGAAAUAGUUAUGUUCUCAGAUAGAGACAUUGCCAGUCAUGUAUACAGUGUGCGGUCUUCUUGCACUUAAAACAGCAGUCUUAGUUGUCCUUGGGUAUUCCUGUAGACAAUUUGUGUGAUUUUAAAGCAUUGCAAAUUUCAACAGCUAUAAUAUUAGCCUUUUGACCGUCCCCCAGAUCUUAAUUGUUUAAAACAGAAGAAGCCAUGUCCGGUAAUUGCAUCACAGGUGUCUAGGUUCUUAUCUGAAUUUACUUCAAUAAACAGAUGGACAAAACCCAUAUCUUCAUGAGGAACAAGGGGAUCUGAGGACAGGACCCUCAAAGAUUGUGUGUGUGUGUGUGUGUGUGCGCGCGCGCGCGCACAUGCAUGUGUGUCCUAGCUACUUUUCUCAUUGCUGAGACAAAUUACCUGAUACCCAAAGGUAAAGGAGGAGAGUUUUAUUUAGCUCACAAUUUGUAGAAGUUUAAAGUUCUACUUGCUGGGCUCCAAGGCAGGGUGGCAUAGUAGAUCGGUGUCACAGAGGAGAAGCCAUACGUAGCAGGCAGAAGGCCAAAGAUAGAAAGGCAAGCAACAAGCCCUAAUGGCAACUCCUUUCUGUCCAUUUAUAUUUUAUCUAGGUUGGGUAGAAAUUAUACCCCAAACUAUGCCAAGCCAACCAGUAGACUAAUUUAGUAAUCACACAUCCUUAAUUCCAGUAACACACACUGUAGAUCCAACCAUGUCUAAAAAACUCCCUAACCAUCAGUUGAGGCUUUGGGGGAACAUGUAGACACAAGCUAUAUUACUCUUCCUUAGGGGGCCAUUCUAAAUGCCAUAGUUUCUGGAUGUUUUCCGUGAUAAAUGACCACAAAUCCUUGAACAUCAAAGAUUUCACUUUACCUGCUGUUUUAAUAAGAAACAGUUUAACUGAAAAAUAAUCUCAAUACUUUAAACUACCAUACUAUACCCAUGUCUUGCCAUUUCCUGGCUCAUUCUGAACUCAAGCUAUGUGAGAAUGUCAGUGGAAUCCACUAGGUGUGGUUCACGAAGUUGCUCGUGACUUGUCCUGGGGUCUAUAGAGAGACAUAGAGUCAUUAGAUCCUUAAAAUGACAUCCAGUGCAGAAGAAUGAGACCUAAUAAUCCCACAAAGUGUCCUUUGUGAAAGUUAAGUAUUUAGUAAAUAAUCUCUAUCUGAAACUCAUAGAAAUGUCCUUUUGAGCCACAUGAUGGCUCUAGCUCUACUACUGUUGGUUUCUAUGAGGUGAAAGGUCCCAAAAAUGAGGUACAGUAGAUGAAAAGAAAAUAAGAGACAAGCAAGGUUAUGGGAUCAGGGGCCACAGUCUCUAAGACUUCAUGAAGCCUGGAUUAUAAUUUUCUCUGGCUUUUUAUUAGAGUCUUUACAAAAAGCAGAUACAGGAAAUGGAAGAGGUAAAGUACAGAUAAAUAAGAACUUAGUUGUUUAACUAUCCCAGGGACCAUCUCUGGCUAUAUAUGGCCUUCAUGUUUACCAUUCUUUUGGGCACGCCUUAACAAAGCAUCUUGUGUUGCCCCAGCAGCAUUCCACUGAGAUUAAGGUUCUGCAUUCAUUUCCUUGACAUAAUGCAUCUGUAAGACUUCCUCCAGAACAAGCAAUUCUAUGGCCUAGUAGAGCUCAAAGUCCCUGGGGUAACCAAAGGCUAAACUAGUUUAAGUUAAUCUAUGACUCACAUACUAUGUUUUGUGUCCUUAAAAUGAAAUCCCAUGCAGAUAGCAGAGACCUUAUUUGAACCCAGGAAGUGUUCCUUGUGAGAUGCUGACAUUUCUGUCUGGAGCACUAGCAUCUUUCAUAGAUGAAUGGAAAAAGUCCUACUGAGGACUUUUUGUCUCCAUACUGGGGCCCACUAAUUCCUUAGAGACAGAGGGAGUUACAGCACUGGACGAUGCUAUCUCAUACUUUAAAAUUCCUAUGAGAUUAGUGUAACAUAUAUAAGUAGCAGAAACCAGUAGACUUGUGUAAGGGCAACAUGACAUUGAAUUUAUUGUGCCUGGAUUCAUACAGAGAGCAGGAUAAAACCUUCUUCCCUAAACAAAGGGAAAUAUGUCCCUUUUAUAAAGGAUGGAGGUAAGGCAGAGGACAGACAUUAGGUGGGAGCAUCUUUGGUUAAAGUUUUAUGGUAAUCUUACAUCUUAGUCGGCAGAGUCCUUUGAAAUGUCCAUUGUAAUUUUUGGGUAUCUCUAGAUGUCUCUAGUACCUGAAAAAUUCCUUGUCCUAUCUUAUCUCCUUUCCUGUGCUUGCCAGUGACAGCUUUGGGUGCUAAGCUGAUUUUCCGGCAGAGUAGUGCUUGCACUGUCAAACAUGUUGGGGGCUGGGAGAGCCAAGUCCAGUUGGAGACUUAUAGUUAGGGUAGAAUCUUUCCCCACGUAAAUUCCUUUAGACAUGGUUAGGCUUCUUAAUGCUUUUAUUUAAGCAAUGUGGAGGCACUUGAUAAACCAUAGGUCUUGCAUUUACACUGUUAAUAAAACUUGGUGCUCUGUUUAAAGCAGUAGAGAUAGACUCACAAUCAAUUGAACUAAGGUUUACUGACCUACUUUUCUGUUCAGGCUAUUAGUCAUAGGUUUUUAAAUUACCUGAACUUUGUUACCAGAAACAAGUGUUCUAAAAACAAAUAUGGUGUUGGCUGACCCAAAAUAGUGUCCAGCUCUGUGACAAGACAAAAUGGUGGCCAGACAUGUGAUGAGACAAGAUGAAUACUAUGAUUAUGCAAAAUAAACAGCCAUUUAGUAGCAUAGCACAGAUGAGACUUGGAGCACAAAAAGAAGUAAACUGGUGUAGGUGGGUAGUCAGGCAGCCUACCAAGUUAGCAACAGCUAUUUUUCCUAAAAGAGUAAGAAAUCUGAGCAAAGUAUCAUGGAGAACAAAAAUGAGAGGAUAAAAGGCCAUAAAUAACAGACUUACUGGCUAUUUAACACACACACAGAGUGACCACAAAUAGGAAAAAGAAAUAAAAGGGGAGACAAAUUUGAAGUGGGAGACAAAUAUGAAGUGGGUCUGCAGAUCUCUCAUGGGUUAAAGGAAAAUCCAGAGGCUACAACUUGACUUUUGAAAACACUACUCUGAUGCUUCUCAGCAGAAAGAAUUUAGAUGGGCCAUUGGUUGUCUGCCUUUAAUUACAGUUAGGGACAUCUCUUCACAAGGGGAAAUAUUACAAAUAGGCAAGUUAGAUACUGGGCCCCAAGUAGAGUUAGUAUGGCCAGACCUUGGUCAGAUAAGCAGCAGCCUGAGGUCAACAGUUAAUAAGAACAAGAUGCACAAUAAAAUCUAGGGAUUUAACAAGCAAAGUAAAAAAGAGGUAAUGGAUGACUGCUGUAACAAUUUCUCUUGUACCCACCUGGAAAAUGUUUACUCUUGUAAACUUGCCAGUUGUCUUCCACACUGUACCCUUCCAUAACUACCCUGGUCUAAAUAAACCUUUGCAUUUUCCACAUUCCUUGUCCAUAAAUUCCUUAUCUUACACCAUCUCCAUAUCACUAGCUAUAACUUAUGAGAGACUUCUUAUUUCUCAGCCAAAAAUAAGUGUUUUGGGACAUUACUUUGUAUUUGUCAAUUUUUUUUUUUUUUUUUUACAUUUUCUGGGAAUGUAAAAGAACUGAACUAAGUGAGAUGCCCACCCAGCCCAGCAUGUCACCCCAAUGCCAUCUUUCAUGGAUGCUCCCUAACAAGCCAUAUGGGUCCCAGAGAGCUGAGCACCACUCACCCCAAUGCAGUGCCCUGUUGCAGUCGAUCAGGGGUGCACUCCAGCUAACUGUGUGGGCCUCAAAGAAGCGGAGCCCUAUACAGGCCAGCACAGUUCCCUGUCACAAUCCACUGAGGAAAUACCCAGCAAGUUAUGUGGGCCAUAGAAGAGCCAAGCUCCAUCCAGCCCAGCACAAAAGAUCUAGUGCCAUCAUUUUGAGGUGCGCCCUUGCCAGUUACAUGGAUUUUGGAGGAGCUGCCCUGUGCAUCACCUAGGUGCCAUUAGUGGAGUGCCUCAGGGAGACAUGUGGGUCUAGAGGAGCCCUAUCCAGAAACUUUUCAGUGUCAGGGUAUCUCUGGUGAGCAGAGGGAGGGUAGAAGCCCCACCCAUAAUUUUUCUAUCACCCUGCCCUGGGAACAUCAGUUCAGAGGAACCCAGGUGCCUUGCCCCUCAACUAUACUGCAGUAGAGGUGGUCAAUGCAGGAAGUGCCUUGACCUAAACAAUUGGCUUGUCUGGAUGAGCCUAGAAAAAUCACAAAACAAAGGAGAAAAAAUGCAAUCUCAGACCUCCAGCCCACCCAGAACAAACUGAAUGACAUGGAAGAAAUUGGAAGUUUCCCUCAAUAAAUUUCUAAAAUGAUAUCAACUGAAGUAAAGAGAUGACUGCAUAAGGUUGUGAAGGAAAUCAAAUUGAAAAUAUCACAUGCAAAAAAUCACAGUCAUUAUGAAAGAAUUAUUGAGAAUGCCUAAGAAGACUAGAUAAACAAAUAGAAGAUCAUAGGAAAAUGGUGGAAAUCUUGAGUGAACAAUAUAGGAAAGAAUUAGAAUGCAUGAAAUAUUCAAAGACCUAUUCAGGAAAUUAAAAUUUCCUUUGGAAGAUUGCAAAACUACGUGAAAAAACUAAAGAUAGACUUUUAGACCUAGAAGACAGGACUGAAGCUAAUGAUCAUCAAAGGAAAGAUUCCUUAAAAGUAAAAUGCAAGGGGCUGGGGAUUUAGCUCAGUGGCAUAAGUGCCUACCUUGCAAGCAGGCAGUCGUGAGUUCAAUCCCUGGUACUGAUAAAAACGAAAAAGACAAAAAAAAAAAAAAAAAAGUAAAAUGCAACCAGGAAAUAAUGCAGCAGCUGCAAGAUAAUGCAAAGAAAUACAGUAUAAGAAUGAUAGCUGAUCAUAAAAGAGCAGGAGUGAAUAUAAAUGACAUAAAAAGACAAAUUUUCAGAAGUAAUAGAAAAUUUUCCAAGUAUGGGAAAAGAAUCUGACACACAGAUAAGUGAAGCAUAACCAAAAUCAAUCUACACCCAGGCAUAUUUAAUACUUAAUUUCCCAGAAACUCACCACAAGAACAGAAUAAUGAAAGCUAUUAGAGAAAAGCCCCAGAUCGCCUUUAAGGAAAGCUCAUUAGAGUCAUGGCAGACUUAUCAAUACAAACCCUCAAGUCAAAAAGAGCUUAGAGUAAAGUAUUUCAAAUUUUGAAAGAAAAUAACUUCCAAUCCAGAUUGACAUACCUUUCAAAACUAUCUUUGAAAAUCAGUGGAUAGAUAAGAUACUUCCAUGCAAAGAACAAUUGAAGAAAUUUAUGACCAAACUAAACCUACAGAGUACUGAAAGAUACUCUAGAAUGAAGUAAAAAUAACCACAAUUCCAAGAACAACAACAGAGAAUAACCACAAAGCAGGGUAAGCAAGAACUUAAACAGAGAGAAAAAGUAGAAAACCUACAACAGGAAUAUAAUUUGACAAACAAAUCAAUACAUUUCAGAUGUAACCAUCCAUGUAAAUGGCCUCAUUUCACCAAUCAAAGAAACAGAUUGCCAGAAUAGAUUAAGAAACAAAAUCCAACAAUAUGCUGUAUAUAAGAAACACAUUUAAACUGAGGAUGUAGCUCAGCAGUACAAGCACCAGCCUGAAAAGUACAAGGUCAUAAGCUCAACCUCCAGUAUCAAACAAACAAAAAAAGUUUAACUCAAAAGUAAACUCAUAGACUAAAAGUCAAAGGAUGAAGAACAAUACUCCAUGCAACAGGAACCCAGAAAAAAGCAGUAAUAACUAUUUUACUUAUAGAUAAUGUAAACUUCAAACCAAGAAUGAUCAAAAGAGAUAAAGUCACUACAUAGUUGUCAGGGGAAAACUUUAAGACAAUGGGAUAAUAAUAAUAAAUAAGUAUGCCCUAAACAUGAGAACAAUCAACUACAAAGGACAAACAUUAAUAGACAUGAAAAAUCAAAAAUUAAUAACACAGUUGUGAAGGGGGAACUCAACACUCCAUUAUCGCGAAGAGAUAUAUCAACUAGACAAAAUCAACAAAGAAUAACAGAACUGAACCAAACCUGUGAACAAACAGACUUAGUAGAGUGCUCCAGCCUGCAUCUUCGAAUACACAUUUGUCUCAGCUGCACACAUGGGAUAUUCUCUAAAAUAGACCAUAUACUAGCCCACAGAAUAUGCUUAAGCAAAUGCAAA